UGGGGAAUUUUGCACAAUGGGGGAAACCCUGAUGCAGCGACGCCGCGUGAUUUAGAAGGCCUUCGGGUUGUAAAAAUCUUUUCUAUGGGAAGAAAAUGACAGUACCAUAGGAAUAAGGACCGGCUAAUUACGUGCCAGCAGCCGCGGUAAUACGUAAGGUCCGAGCGUUGUCCGGAAUCAUUGGGCGUAAAGGGUACGUAGGCGGGUAAGCAAGUUAGAAGUGAAAUCCUAUAGCUCAACUAUAGUAAGCUUUUAAAACUGCUCAUCUUGGGGUAUGGAAGGGAAAGUGGAAUUCCUAGUGUAACGGUGAAAUGCGCAGAUAUUAGGAGGAAUACCGGUGGCGAAGGCGACUUUCUGGCCAUAACCUGACGCUGAGGUACGAAAGCGUGGGUAGCAAACAGG
rnacentral:rRNA from 1 species